AGGAGUAUAGGGAAUAAAUCCUGGAUACAGACAACGGGCACUUAAGAUCAGGCACCUCAGUCUGCAGGAUGAACUGAGAAGCUGUAUACCCUGGCUGAAGUCUGCCAAGGCUCAGAGGAGCACAGCAGCAUGCUAAAUCCUCCCUGCAUUUCAGCAUAUCAACCUGCGAAGAUGACUGCCACCUUGAUGAGUCUCUAGAAUUACAGGUGACCUUGCUACAGGACAGCAAGGAGCUUCUAUAAGCCAAAUUGUUGCUUGACAUGGGCCUCAGGAAUGCCUUGUGGAACUUCAGCACUCAGCUCUUACUCUGUCAUCACAGCCUUGCAGAGAGGGCUGGAUGGCCAUCUGGGAGUCCAUAGUUGAACUGCCCACCACCACCUCUCCUUCCACCACAGUCAGCAGGGAGCAUAGGAUAUAAUUGUUGUGCAUCCUCUGAAUGGCAGCCCCCAAGAAUUCCCCCAGAGAUGAUCCAGUGUGUGUGAAGAAGACUCACCUGACAGGAAUGAUGGUAAUCAAUCCCAACUGUAUGUGCUAGAAACAAGAAGGAAUGAUGCAUCUACUGAAGAGAGGUUUCAUGGAUGUUUACACACUUUUCUGAAUAGAGGUUCAUCAAAGAAAAGGCUUCUUUUCUGGAAUAAAAACCUUGACUGAUUAUCACUGCCUCGAUCAGCUGCUGCUUGCAAGGCUGACAGCAGCAAGGGGAUAUAAACCAUAGCUCACACUGGCCUCACCAGUAAUAGAAGGACACAUUGCAUGUGCUCGUACAACAUGUCUCUCAG